AUAAAAUAAUUAUGUUUUUAGUAGUUUAUUAUAAAUUUGUUUUACAUAUAAAUUUUAGUAUAUAAUUUUAAUUAUUUUAAUAAUAAUUAAUUAAAUUUGGUAGUAAUUAAUAUUAAAAAUUUAAGAAAUUAAGAUUUAGUAAUAUUAAAAUUAAUAACUAAUUUUGUGCCAGCAGUUGCGGUUAAACAAAAAUUAAAUUAAAUUAUUUCAGUUUAUAAUAAAUAAUUAAUUAUUAAAAUAAAUAUUAAAUUAUUAAGUGAAAUUUUAAUUUAAUUUAAUUUUAUUAUUAAAUUAUGAUUUAAUAAAUUUUAAUAUAAACUAGGAUUAGAUACCCUAUUAUUAAAAAUUUAAUUUAUAAUACUAAAAUAGUAAAUAAUAAUUUAUUGAAACUUAAAUAAUAUGGCGGUAUUUUAGUUCAUUUAGAGGAAUCUGUCUAAUAAUUGAUAAUCCACGAAUAAAUUUACUUAAUUUAUAAUUUUGUAUAUCGUUGUUAAAAAAAUAUUUUUUAGUAAUAAUAAUAUUUUAAAUUUAAAAAUAAAAAUUAAUUCAGAUCAAGAUGCAGAAUAUAAUUAAGAAUAUGAUGGAUUACAUUAAAUAUAUUUAAAUGAAUAAUUUAUUGUAAUAUAAAUUUGAAGGUGGAUUUAAAUGUAAUUUUAAUUAAUUUAUUAAAAUGAUUAAAAAUUAAAAUAUGUACAUAUUGCCCGUCACUUUCAUUUAAAAAUUGGAAUAAGUCGUAACAAAGUAGAGGUACUGGAAAGUGUUUCUAGAAAGA
rnacentral:ncRNA from 1 species